UUCAUUCUGCUUUGACAAAUAAAAUCAAGGUAUCAAGAUAUGAUUAUGUUUUUAAUCCUAAAACCUUUCAGGGAUAUAGAAUUUGAGUUAAAAGAAAUCUUUCAAUGCAUAUAAUAUGGCUUUUUUUUAGAUUUUUUUUUUUUUUACAGCAUCAGAACACCCCCUUCAGAAAACAAAUAGAUAAAGUGCCCAUGUAACAUGUAAAAACCAAACUCCUCUAGUUUGAAGAAGAGGCAGGGACUAAAACUACUUGUCUAACUCCUACCGUGUUUAUGAAUCCCUCUGCAGAAUCACUAACAUUUGGUUUUUAAACUCAAAUUGACAUCUCACAAGGCAGCCUAUCCCAGUUUUGACAACUGUGUUAUUCCACCUAAUAACUGUUUUCAACUCAUUAAAAAACUAUCGUUAUUAUAUUCCCUGUAUAAUUCAAGUAAGUCCAAAUGUCUCCAUUCACUACUUUCCUAGAUAUGGUGGGUCUAACACCAAGCAUAAUCUCAACUCUACAAUUAAAUUAAUAGAGACUAAGAGUAUAUUAGCUUUUGAAGUAGCAUACUAAAAUUAUUAGUUUAUGUUGCUCUUACUGUCAACAAAAAUGCUUUUUUUCCCUCAUUUUCUUCUAUUAAGCUAUGCAACAUAGUAGUGAAAGAGGCUUAAACAGAGAGAAUGAAGACUUGUGCUUAAGUCUAGAAAAUUGAUUGAAAUAGUGAAGUAACAAAGACACUUACUACCAGAAGAACACAGAGACAAAACACAGUUAAUUUGAGUGCUGAGAAGUCUUUAUUUAGGCAGAGUACAUACUCCAAGAAAGGGGAGAAUGGGCAUCCUCAGAGAGGAGGCAUGCUUAAGGGCUUUGGAUUCUAUCUUUUAAGGCUUUUAAGAAUAGGGCAGAGGGCCGUUGGGGUUGUAGGCUUGAUAUGUGGUCUCAUGAUGUCUCUCUCAAGUGAGAGACAUUAUGUCAUCAUCCGUAGUCUGUCCUCUAGAUAUUCUGUGAGAUAAACCUAACACAAAGGAUUUCCUCAUCCUGUUCUUCUGCAAGAUAGUAUUUACCCUCAAGCAGUGAGAACAUAUCAUUUAGGACUUCUUGCGCUGCCCCAAGACAAGUUAGUUAUUGGCUGAUUACCAUAAAAUAUCUUAGGAAUCUUACCUCUUAACUCCCUGGUUUUUAAAAUGGAAUCUUAGCCUUAAGAUGGAAUCCCUCCUAUUAUACUAUUUAUAUCUUGGCAUUUUUCAUCACAGGCAGGAAAACUUAAUCAUGAUGCUUGUCGCAUGUCCCUGCCCUACCUUACUAUGGACAGUUGAAAUUGUGAGGAUUAAAUGAGUUAAUAAAAAUGCUUAGAACAUGGUUAAAUAAGUAUAUAAUAAAUAUAAGUUAACAUUAUUUUAUUAGCAGACUUUUAAAAUUGUUUAAAAAAAUUUUUAAGUGUAAUUCCUUAUUAACACUUUCUUGGCAAUUUCCAAAUUUCUUAAAUACAGAAUUGUUCUCAAAUUGGUCUUGAAAACACUGUUUUGACUUAACAUUGCUCUCUUCUUGACUGUAAUAUAGCUUAUCAAAACAGUUCUAUUAAUGAUGGACAAACCUUACAGCUUACCAUAUUUCAUGUCUGAUUCCUUAAAAAUUAUUUGAGGUAUCUAACAUGUAUUUAACAACAGGAAAUCUGAUUAUGCUGUUAAAUCUCUGGUUUGUAUCUAAGUGGUCACAAGGACUGUACCACAACCCUUGGCAUGCAGAUUGCACGUGUGAACUAGCCACUGCUGCCCAGUUGCUUUUCCAAUCUAAUUACUAUCUCCCCUGGAAAGAAAAUUGAAGAAUAUUAUCAAAGACAGUAGUAUAAUUUGAAAAAGCUUAAUGGAUAGUCAGUCCCUUAUAAAACUAGGCUAACAAUGGAACAGGAAUUUUAACCUAUAAGGUAGCAGGAAUUAUAUACCUUUCUUAGUUACUCUUUGUUUCCCAGUACCUAGCACAAAACUUUCUAAAAUAUAGUCCUUUACUCAAGAUUUGAAGCCACUCUCAUUUCCUGGGUAAGUCCUCACUGAUUACUUGUGAUCUGCCUCAUUUAAUAUUUAGCAUUAUAUGUCUUUAAAAGAUCAGUACUAUUUCUAUUAUAGCUGUCGUGGCAGUCAAGUCUAAACAAACACCAUUGAAGUGGUAUGGAAUCCUGGGGUGGAAAAUCUUUUCCAAAUUGCCCAGCAUUCCUCCAUUCUGAUUUGCCUCUUUUGGGUAAGUGGGUAGUGGGGGGGGGCAUACAAAUGGAUCCCCUUUCCACCACACAUAACAUCAUUUUGUUGUAAGCUAGGAUUAUUGAAGGUUGGGUGAACCAAUGAAUGUUCAUUCCAUCCACUUCACAGGACAGCCUGAGCAAGUCAUGUUUCAAUAUACUUAGCCUUUGAUCAACAUGUUUCAUCAUUGAAAUAAGUUGGGUUGGGUAAUGCCCAAAAACUACAGACCUAAGAAUGUUAAGCCCAUGCACCAGCUCAUGUAUAUCUUUAAUUUCUUUACUGUCCAGCCCAGUGCGUUAUUCAUUACAUGCUCUACAGGGGAAAAUGUGUUUUUGUUGAUAUAACAGUAAAAUCUGGCAAAGGCUAUUCAUUUAUGAGCAUUAAAUGUUUGCCUUUUAGUAAUGUCUAGAACAAGGAGGUUAGGGUAAAAUUGCCGCACACACACAAGAAAAGAUAGUUUGUAUCCUGAGGGACUAUUCUGAAGAGGAACAACCUGUCAUCCUCUUGUUUGUUUUCUUGUUUCCCUUUUAAAUUAAGUUAAAAAAAAAAAGUCAUGACCAUCAUUUCCCUUUGACAUAAAAGAUUGUGUUGCAGAAAAUAAGGGCAAUGAGAAACAAAACUUUCAGAUUCAGUUCUUCCUAGAAAACAUUUUAAUUUCUUCUAAUUAUAUUUCAGACCCAGGUCGUGAGCAUCAUCAUCAUCAUCAGGGCUAACAUGCAUAAACACUAAGUCAUGAGCUGUCAACUAUGCUAAAAUGCUUUAAUUUCAUUAUAAUUUAAUCCUCAGUACAGUUCUGUGAAGCAGGAACAGUUAUCUCCCCUUUUAUAAUUCAAGGAAACUGAGGUUUUAGAGAUAUUAAGUAACAUUAACUGAUAAUGUCACUUACCUAUAUGUGGGUGACCAAGUUUUAUUUGAACAUAGUCAUAAUCAUUCAUUUAUGUUUUGUCUAUAACUGUUUUUCAGCUAUGUAGUAGAAUUCAGUAGUUGUAAUAGAGAUCAUCUGGCCCCCAAAGACUAAAAAUAUUUUCUAUUUGGACAUUUACAGACAAUAUUUACAGGCAAUAUUUACUGACCCCUGGUCUAAAUCAUUAUAUACAGAGUGCAGAGAUCCUUUCUUCUCUGACAUUUUAAUAAAUCCGAAAUGCUCUUUAUUCAAAUACCUUGAAGGAUCUAUGCUUAAUAGGAGAUACACUCCUAAAGUAAUAAUUCAAAGUUCUUCACAGUAUAAGCACUAAUCUAGCUUUAUCUUGCUAUGACCCAAUUCUGCUUUUCUUCCCUGCUAUAUGAGUUUUUCUGUCUACAGCCUUACUCAUGCUGUUCCCUUUGUCAUCCUUACCCCUGUCUAUGGACUCCAACCUAAUCUUCAAAAUAUGUUUUAAAUGUUAUCUCUUUCCUGAUUCCUUUUCUUAUUUCCUCUCUCCCACUUUUGUAGUCCACCCCAAUUGGAUGAACUCUUUCUUUUAACUUCCACAGUAAUUUGAACAAAUUACUCAGUUAUUCAAAGAGCUGCCUUACAGCUCUGAUUGUAUGGUUUUGUAUUUUGCUUUUAUUUGACUUUUUAAAUAUUCUUUUCUCUCAGAAAUAUGUUGAGCACCCUGUCGUAUGGCAGCACUGGUGGCUAGGUUCUGGAGAUCAAUAGUUAAAUAAGGCAUAGUCCUGUACUCAAGCUGUACUAUUUUAUCCUUCCUACUAGAUUGUAAGCACCUGCCAGAGAAAACACCCAGUCCCAUUCAUCUUCAUUUUAUAAUGUGCUCAGUAAUUAUUGGUGAACUUGAGCAGUACAUUUAGUGAUGUUACAAAUUAAAUGUCUUCAUAUCAUGUUUUAAACUUUUCCUUUAAAUUGCUUUAAUUUGGCUACUUGUUCCAUCUUUCAGAAGAACUGUUAAUUCCCUCUAAUUAGAAAACUGAAGAAAAUUAUGAAAUGAUUAACAAUUUCUUAUAUCCUAGAGUGUUUAUAAAUAUACAACUGACAAGUAUUUUUCUGUCAAGUUAAUUGGGAGCUUAUCUUGAAUUUAUUAAGGCUUAGCACCCUGAAGUUUAUUCCAUUGUACUUAAGAUGAUCAUUUCAUUAAGUUAGAGUUGUUUCCAAGCUGUAUGUUAUUUGUUCUAAGCUUUUUUUUUUUAAUACUGAAAAGUUACUAAGUAUACCUAGAGAAGUUACUGAAGCAAGACCAAGAUCAGUCACAUAGCUCCUAAACAAUAGGGCCCAAGUUUCUAGAUUCCAGCUCCGCUUCUGUGAUACUAUGCUGCAAGAUUUUAAAAAUUAAUCAUUAGAUCUGCACUGCCCAAUAAUGGUAGCUGCAUGUGGCUAGGUAGCACUUGAAAUAUAUCUAGUUCAAAUUGAGGUGUACUGUAAGUAUAAAAUAAUACUGAAUUUCAAAGACUUAGUAUAAAAAACACAAAAUAGCUCUAAUAUUUAUUUUGGUUACAUAUUAAAAUAAUGAUUUGGGUAUAUAAAGGGCUAGGAAAUAUUAAAAUUAAUUUCACCUGUUUCUUUUUAGUCAUUUUUUUUUAUGUGGCUACUAGAAAUUUAAAAUUAUAUGUAUGGUUCACAUAUGUUUCUGUUGGACAGCACUGAUCUGUAGUACUUACUAAUACAAGAUAUACAUCAUACACGAUUUUAAGUGUGUCAUUAAUAUAUAUUCUGUAGUGAAUAUGUGAAAUAGGAAAACCUUACCCAACUUUGAAAAGUUCACAUUUUAUACUUAAGCCCAGUUCUGUUCUUCACUUACCCAGAAUGAAUUAAGAAUAACUAAAUGAGAAACUCUUACAUAUAAUAAUGAAAUAAAAUAGCUAAAAGAGACCUCUAUUAUAUGAUAAAAACCCCUGUUAGUCACGUAUUUUCAAUUCCUGAACCAAAUAAAGUAUUGUACAGGUCAAUUUUUUCAUUUAAGAAUGCCCACAUAUCUGAGAUAAAAAGUUACCUUCUUCCCACUGUUAAUAAUUCCUGCCACCACCACCCCUCCCUCUGUUGUUUUUUCGCUUAGGUCUCUUUCUUGACCAUACUUCACUCCUGUGGAAGGCUGGUUCUGUGAAACUGGGGAGUGAGAAGGAAGAAAAGACUGAAUACCCUCCCAUAGCUUCUUUUUCCCACUGCUCCCUACUUCCACUCCCCUAACUCUUACUUUUCCCUCCCCCGACAUAACACACAAAGUAAAGAAAAUAUAAAUGCCCCUGUGUCUUCUGGCUUUAAACCCAGGGCCUCAUCCUAAAGGUCUCCCUUUGAGUUUAGUAUAUUCCCAAGGAACUCUUCAAAGAUACUCUUUUUCUCUUUUUACAAAGAAAGGUUAUCUGGGGUUUCCUCUGAAAUGUAGAUGAACCUUACUUUAGUUCUUUGUAUACUAAAAAGACCCAUCCUUCUCACCCAUGUGGCUUUUGUCUUUCCUUGUGUUUCCUGAUGGGUCGAAGGGUAGAUAGAAGGAAGCUGCUUCAUGGAGUGAGGAGGUGGAAGAUAGCUCUGGAAAAUUUCAAUGGUAGAAGGCUAGAAUCUACUACCAUUUACAUGCUAAUGAAACCAGAAAUAGCUUUUUUUCCCCUUUUGAUCUGAUUUUAAACUUUGUGCCUUUCCUGUGGUAGGUCAUUUUACCCCCCUGUGUUUUUCUCAUUGUUGUUAGCUGUAAAAACUCUUUGAAAUUCUCAAGAUAGAGGAGGAUUUCUUUCAGGAAUAGGAGGAGAGGAUAAGCUGUGUAACUGCAUUCUGCUCAUAGUGGGUCUAUUAGGGAGGAAAACCCGCCUCUGCAGUAAUAGAAGGCAGAAGCAGAGACAGAAGCAGGCAGGUCAGGCCUAGAUCCAAUAAAAUAAACAGAUAAUUGGAGUUGUAGCCUAGGACUUAGAAUUAUCCCAAAAGUGGACACCAGCAAGGUCUAGACUUCCCACAUAACUUAAACCUUUAAUGAGUGUCUGAAACUCACAUCCAUAUGUCUGUUAAAAGACAACUUAGAUAUGGAUCAUGACCCAUACAGAUAUAAAAUGCUUGUUAAGGAUUUAUUUUACUUGUGAUACAAAGUAGGAAAGAUGAAAUAAAAAUGGCGUCAACUUCUGUCAAGGGAUUUUAGGUUGGAGCCCAGCUGGGAGGCCAUUAAGGAGGUGGGUCUUAUGCACAUCCGCACUAGUGGAACUAUGAGCUUUGAACUGAGCCAAAUGCAGAUAUUCCAAGGACUCAGCUCUAACACCUACAACUGGCUAUAGUGAGAGACUGCUUAGAGAUAGUCUUAGCAACCAAUUAUGUUCAGUCCGGAUUAUUUUCUGCCUCCAACAUCAAACACAUUUCUUUGUAAAUCACAUAUACAAGUAUGCCUUUCUGUCUUUUAAAAAAAUCCUCAACUUUUGUUCCCUAGUGCGGCACAAUUUGGGUUGCUACAAGAAUUUAUGUUCCCCAGAUUGCAAUUUUGAGACCCCAAAUAAAUGCUUUCAGUUGACAAAGGGACCUAGGUAGAUGUUAUAACCAAGUUAAAGUCAAACACCACAAAUUACAUAUAUGGAAAAAAGGGAUAUGGAGAAAAGGAAUGCAAAUGGAGACAUAACUCUUUAGAGUUUUAAAGGGAAGGGAAGUCAAUUAAAUCACUAACAGGACAGAGGGCAGAAUUUGCAUCAUCUAUCAGUUUUGUGCAAUUUAAAAAUAGUUAUAGAAAUAGCUGAAAGACAAGGAAUUGAGCUAAAAUCUGAUAAAAUCUGGAAAAGGAAGGGCCUGGUAUAAAUGACGCAUAGUUUUCCAUUGAAACAAAAUUUGUUUCUACACUCCACCUUUUUUUAUUGAAAAAAAAAAUCUCAAAGAUUAUUCAUGGUCACAAAAUAAGAUUGGGCUAAUAAUAUUUGGCCUGACUUAUUUACAUAGGUGUAGCUAUAGUGUUCAUUUACCACUCUAGGGGAAAAAAAAUAAUUUUCUCCUACAUUUCUAGGUUCUUAGUUGAGACCACCUUGUAGUAAAAAGAUAAAUGAGGAGAAAAACAAACAAGUUUGAUAACUGUAUACCUCUUAUAUACAUGGGAGAUACCCAGGCAUACUGAGUAACCCAGAAAUGGCCCUAGCCACCACAUUAAAUACCAUCUCUAGCUAAAGACAAAAGAUGGUGUGUGGGAGGGGGAGUGAAUUAUGGGAGGUUAUCUGGCAAAGCACAGUGAGGGUAUGGUUAUGGAGAUUUACCUCUAAGCCUUCUCUGUUGAUAAAUUUCUAGUUUUAGUCAUCCUUCUCUUCCUAGUACAGAGAGGGAGACCUUCCUUACAAACAGAGGCUUCUCAUAUAAAUGUAAAUGUAACUCACAAAAGGGCAACUUCCACUGUUUUCAGAGAUUUUCCCUGUGUUUGCUGUUUCUAGCCUAAGAUAAUCGUUAAUGCCAAAGAGGCAUUUGGGGGUUGCAUAUUCUGUUUCCCUUUACCUCAUUAGCUUUCUUAAGUUCCGUUGCUGAAAUAUUUCCCUAAGGAAUCUGAAAUUGUACUUUUCAAAAAGCUACUUGAGACUAGGAACCCUCGCCAAUAACCUGCCACCAGAUUUCUCCUGCAAUAUCUCUUAAUUUGCCCAAAUUCCUCCCUUCUCAAUGUCUUCAAAAUGUCCUAAAUCUCCUAACUAUUUUAGAAAACUUUGUAAGCCUGGUGCCCAGGUCACUUUUUCUGUAAGUACUUUGUAAGCAUUAGCUCCAUAAAUUCAACUUUAAUUUCUUAAAGUGUCUGGUCUUGGACAAUUAAAUGAGUACCAUUUUCAAAUAUGUUAUGCCAGGUAACACCUUGGUUGCAUAACCAUUGUGUCCAAUUAUGUUUUAAUAAAAAGGACUUUAUGAACAUGUACAAAUAACUGUAUUACCACAAGAAAUAUUCAACAAGAGUUCCAGAAUUCUCUGGGAAUCAUGCAGAGAGACUAAAGUAUCAUUUACAAAUGAUAACAAAUUUUAGUUUACAAAGUGGAGUCCACUAAAUUCUAACAAGUUAUAGAUACCUCUGGGGGAAAGAGAAGGGACUUCCUUACAUGUCUAGAAAAUAGGACAUUAAAACAAUAUAAAAAUAUUCCAAACAAAACUACAGUUGUCCCUUAUCAGUUCAUUCAGUCCUAUAUAAUUAAUUCUUAUUUCACUGGAUCUAAAUAUAUCCAUUUCUCAACUACAGUUCUGGAAAUUUUGAAGCAGUCCAAUGGUGUGGUCUUACAUUUGUUGAAGAGAUACCAAGCCUGUACUCAAAAGUACCUUGCAUAGUCCUUCUCCCAAGGGUAUCUGAGACAGUCUUUCUUUGUUGAAGAGAAAACCUGGAGCUAAAUUCAAAAGCUUUCAGGGAAGCAUCAGAGUAAAACAAAGAAAUCUGUCAUAAAUGAUAAGAGAAUUUAAAUGGCUAUAGUUAAUAUUACUGAUAAAUUUCAAAAGCAAAAUAUAUGAGUUUAUAACAACAAGAAUGCAACUUGAAGUCAUUCUAACUGACAAAAUAUCUGUAAACAUUUAAACAUAUUUUCAAAAGAAAACUGAAUAUUCAUGUAAUUUAUAAAAAUGAAUGUAAUCUUUGUAGAGAAAAAAUUUUGAGAUAUGACAUAAUAACACUGAACUAUAAUACACCCUGAACAUGCCAAACAUAUAGUCAGAAUAUACCAAAACUGUAAUAAGAAUAUCAAGUGAAAAGAUUCAUUAAGUCUAGGGUAGGUCCUAAACAUCUGUAUAUAAAUAAAACUCCGUAAGUAAUUGAUAUGGAUUCCCAAUUGACAUAUACUGGCCUAGAAGACACAAGAUCCAAACUAAAGAAGAUAUAACCAAGUUAAUAUUUUUAAAAAUACUAAAUUGAUAACCUGUACUGUUGUUGAGUAACAUGCAAAGCAACACCAGGGCUCUGAUAGAAAAAACAUCAUGGACAGAAAGAGCACUGACAAAUCUUUGUACUUCGCAUAUAGCAUACAGUUUCUGAAAUACUGGUAUUAGUAACAUCUCACCCAUUCAGAUUAGACCUCAGGUUAAGAAUCUCUUCCAACUUGACAACUCUUCCCAUGCAGCUCAUCAGUAGUAACAUAUCAGGUAAACUUAAUUAUUUCUAGUCCCUCUCUUAUUACAAGCUUGGAAGAACCUAUCUGUGCUUCUCCAGAGGCCCUUUGGGAAACCUCCAAAAUAGUUUUAGGCACAAAGAUACUCUGAAUGUUUAGUUUAGUUGUUUUUUUUUUUACAUUGAGGAUUUGACUUAGGGGAGGCCAGAAAAAAAAUUGUCAGUAGAUUUGCACACACAGGAAUAGGAUCAUGGGUGCCCAAGACAUAAUAUUUAGCUGCUCAUUUCAGAGUGAUGAUAAAACUUACAAACAUAGAAGGCAACAUGACUGUCAAGAACCUGAGCUCUUGCCUAUGUCAUCAAAGACUUAAAGUCAGCAUAGCAUAUAUGGUUAUUCUGAUACGCCACAGAACCUUUGCAAUCUGGGAAGAUUAAACAAAAAAGGUGAAGACAGUAAACAGUAAACUGAUUAAAUGAGCCCAUCAAAAUUGAGCAAACUUUGCUAAGGUUUUAACAUGCCAUAGUUUUUCAGACUUAUUUUUUUAGACAUUCAGUAAUCUAAGGCAAAAACAAUUUUGUAUUUACAAAUCUUACACACCUUUCUUUAUCCAUUCAGGUUUUGUCCUUUACCAUUCUUUCUCAUUCUAGAACAAGCAUUUUACUUUAGGACCUAACUAUUUUCUUUUUCCCUUUGUAAACAGAAACAUUUCAUCCAUUACCUUGCACACAAAGUUAGACCCCUUUGCUACUAUUGCUCUUAGUAGAGUUCAUUCUGUAUAUUAAUUGUAUCUUUUAACCAAAGUUAAUUCUACUUCACAGAGAAAACUGACAUAGAUAAUUGAAACUAUUACACAUCAGCAUUUUAGUAGGCUAGCAAAACUCAUAAGUACACGUAACACAGCUUUCUACAGCCAUGUGCAUUCUUUAUCUCUGACUUCUCCAGGUGGCAAAAGUGAACAUGUCCCUUAACAAAUCCAGCCUCUCUGUAGCCCAUAAAACAAGAAGCAAAAGUAUAUAAACUUAAAUUUUUGCUUAGUAAUUAAUGGUUCAGUAUUGUAUCUUAGAAAUAAAUGAUCUAGGUAUCUAUAAAUAUCCAUUCGUAUCAUCAAGGUUUUAAGUUACCCAAAGAUCUUAGAAAUCAAUUUUCAAAGUGACAUACUACAAAAUGUAAUUACUGUUUAGAUAAAGUUGUAACAAUGAAUCAUUUUGGAUAAAUAGAAAUUUACAUUUUUCAGGACUGUAAAACAUUAAACAGAAGUAAUGCCAACUUAUUGAAUCAGUAAACUUACAUAAGGAUAGAAAGAACAUACCUAAGUAAAAUAAAAAUCUAUGCUUGUAUAAUAUUUAACACUGAUAAAGAAAGCUGUUUUUAUUAAACCAAAAUUAUUGUUUGUCUUGUUUGCCAAAGAGUUACCUGUAUUACCUAAAUUUGAAUUAUUAAGUGUUCUAUAAAAUCUAGCACAUUAAAAGUAUUAGAAGUUCAGUUGCCUUGUUUUCUGAGAAUUUUAGAAAUACUCCACUUAUGUAAGUUUUCAUUUUUGCCUAUAAACUGCCCAGAACAGAGCCUUUAAGGAAAUUUUAUAAUCUAAUUCAUUAAUACCAUCUGGAGAUAGAAAAACACCUCCCACACACAUAAUAAGAGGUAAAGGCCUUUCUGAAUGAACAUACAAGUAGAUAGACCUACAAAAAUAGAGAGCAUAUGACCUAAAUUCUUAAAACUCAGCUAUAGGUUAAUAGUAAACACAGAAUUAUGACAUUACUAAAGAGUUGCUCUCUUCUCAGUGAAUACAAGUUCUUCACUUAUUUGAGCACAUACCAACAGAAAAGACCACAGAUGUUCUGUCUCUUCUCACCCAACAGAGAAUAGAUCUCUAAAAUCAUUAAUCUGUUUAACAGAACCGUCAAAUGCUCAGACCCUAAAACCAAUUCCCAAAAUUAGUAGAGAGCAAAAGAAAAUUCGAAAAGAUGGAGUCUCAUCAAAGUUCUCCUGUAUUCACCUCUUGGAUCCAAGAAAAGAUGCCUGUGUUUAAAAUAAGAUGUACCACUUCUGCUGAAGAAGUUUGCCCAGCUUUGGUUGUUGAAUCUAUUAGGUGUCUCAGUGGGACCUCCAAAAUUGUUAACAGAAUUUUUCCUGAAAAAGAAUAAAUCAUGACUCUAAUAUAGAUACAAGUGAACAUGUGUUAAAGCAUUUAUGUUACUCGUGAAAUAAGGGAGCCAGGCAGAUUUUGUAGCCAGUUCAAAGGAAAAGUCAGUAAAAUAGCAAAUUUAUAUAGAGCAAAGGAAUGUUGAGAUGAAUUGCAAAUGGAGAUGAAACUGUUUUUUUUCCAGGGCUGAGUCACCAGUCAAAACAAAACUUAUGUAUCAAUUACAGUCAGUUCUCACUAUUCAUGGUAGUUAAGUUCUGUAAAGCCAUCACAAAUACUAGAUUAGUGAAUAGUGAAAUGCUGCUCUUAAGGAAAAUACAGUGUUAGAGUCCUCUGAGCCUCUGAUGACAAAAUUUCAUCACCUGAUCAGUAUGUAGCUUUUUUUAAAGUGUGUUUCUACUUAGAAACACCUUAUUUUAUGUAUCGGUUUGUGAACAUUGAAGUUACAGCCAACAGCACUAUAACUUACUCCUAAACGAUGCUUAUCUGACACAUAUCUUAGCAUGUCACAGCCUUCUUACACUUGGGAACACUAGAGAGCCCUAAAUUAGGGGUCAUUAUAAUAAGCAAAAUCACAAAGCAACAGCACAAAAAUGCAAUAAACGUGGCUGUAAACAGACCAUGAAAAGGACACUUGUUUAUAGUCUGAGAACUGAAACAAGAAAGCAGAGCAUUACCUUGCUUGACCUUAGCUAGGAACACACAUGUUGGAUGACUCAAAUUUUUCAUCACUCUGCAUGUUGUGAAUGACCAUGGAAACGUGAGUACUGAUGUGGGGGUUACAAAUAAAUUUUAGUGACUAGGCAAUUUUACAAAUACAGAAUCUGCAAUAGUGAUUAUUUGUACCUGCAACUUACAAUUGCAAAAUAACUCAAAGACCACAGGGAUAAGGUCUGGUGUGCUAUUGACAGCACAUAAUUUUCUAUUGAAGCACAAUUUUUGUUUUUUACUUUAUAACUGUUUCUUCCCAGUCUCCAGUACUAGUUGUCUUGUGGCUAGGAAAUGUUUACCUAGACUGCUAAGGCCCCUUGAGAGACAGAGAGAUGUAUUCCUUAGAUUCCCUGUGGUAAGUCUGAAACAAUUUUUCCUGGAGAGAGAAUGUUAUAGAUAGUGGCUUAGGAAAGUUCCUAUGUAUUAUAAAUAGGAUUCUGGAAAUCCCAGUGCACAGACCACACACCUGAGACCAGUUAUGUCAAAAUCUCUGAGUGUGAUUUUUGGACAUCCACCACUGUUUUUCUCUAGAAAAACUUGUUCUAAAUUUCUAAUGACUGAUUUCCAAAUGUAUUUUUGGAACACAAACCAGUUUGUUUUGUGGCAAAUUCUGAAGUAUUUGGUUACAGUGACUGCUUGGAAAAAAGAAUAAUACUGUAUAGCAACUAUAUUAUUUGAAAAGAUAAUACAUUUAAAGGAGCCACUAUCACAUCAAAGGUGGGUUUUUUUUUGAGGUGUUGCAGCUGUGGCAGGUGUACUAAUCUAAUAAAUACUUCAGAUGUCUCACAUUUUCACCUUAUUUGCUUGUUUAAGUCAUUUUAUAUAAUUUUCAUGGAAAGAAUUGCUUUUCCAGUAUAUCGAAAUCGCUAUUAUUUCUCCUCCAUAAUAUUUCCCAAAAGAUCUAAGAUACUUUUAAAUUACUCUGAACCUCCCCUCCCCCAAAUAUUAGGUACUUGGGAAUUUCAAAAUAUAGACUUAUAAAGUGAAAUUUCUGAAAAGCUCUUUUUUCUUCCUUUCCCCUUCUUCCUUUAUAUUUUAAAGUUUAUGCUUUGCUUCCAUCUAGGCUUAAUAUGGAUACAUAGCCUGGUGAGGAAUCUUAAAACCUUCCAAGUACCAACAUACCUCACUUGUGCCUUCCAAGGCCUUGCUACUCUGAUCCCAUGUCUUUGUUAGCAGUGACUGCCCAUUGUGUCAGUUUGUGCCAAAUUAUGUGGUGGUUCCUGCUUUGUACACAAUGGACAGUAGGAAAAAUCAUUACACUGUUCACUUCUGAACUACUAUCAGGUUUGAUAUUAGGUUAUUAAAAGAGAAAGCCCUUUCAUAGGCCUUGAACCAAGGUUACUAAAGGUAACAUUUCACAAGCAAUAAAAGCACUGAUGAAUGUUUCUUUGUAUUUUUGCAUCACUGAACCAUAAAUAAAAUGGUUCUGUAAAUAAAAAUGAAUGGAACUAAUUUUCUUUUUCUGUCUCGUACAUGGAAUUUGUAAGUUAAUUGUUGUGGUCUGGUUUUGUUCAAAGGCUUUUUUUUUUUUUUUUUUCAUUUUUCAAGGCAUCUGAAAAGAUUAAACCAAACUUUCAUAUUGUAGUAAGUAGAGUAUUCCAACCACAGUCUGGAGAUCAACAAAGUAAGUGGGCAUGUUUCUGAAAAAGAAAUUGAGCAUAGGAUAUUACAGAUCACAUUUUAAGUGUGCUAGAGCAUUUGCCAGAGGUACUUCUCUGAUAGUAGGGCUUAAAGUUGAAAAUAUCUUUGUGAAAGCAUUCCAGUGUGUGAAUUAGCAAAAGGAGUUAGCUUCUCAUCAUAGGUGCUGGUAGUUGGAUUUGUGGUUAAUCCAUGCCAUAUGGCUGCUCUCCUCUGGGAAGUGACAGCAGCCCUGGGAGCUUUACCACAUCCCUUGGGCAGCUGCUUUGGACUCAGUUGCUUUGAUGUUCUUCUGUUGCACAGCUGGAAAGAGCAAGGGCUGGUUUUCAGUGUCCUUAUAGAACAGCAUAAGGGUCCUUUGUCCUAGACUACACCUUGCUUUUAUAUCAUUUUAUAUGCUAUGCUUCAGAGAGUGCAAGUGUUUUCACUUCCAUGAUCUCACUCAGAAACUCAAGUUUGAGGUAUUUCUUUAAAAGAAACACUUAUUUUAGGGGGGUUGAAAAAAAUUCUAUUUUAGGGUUAAAAAAUAUUCUUGCAGAAACUUAACAUUUUAUAAAUAAGAUUCCAUUCUUAAAUUUCUACAUUCUAUUUCUUGCAAGUUAUAUUUUCUAAGAACAGGUUUCAAAUGAUAAAUAGAAAAAAAUGAGUCUAGUUCAUUUAAUUUACCCAUUAACUAUGAAUAUUUAAUGACCUUUCAGUUGUUAUUCUUAUUGUGCCUUCUUAGCUAAAGGUCACUGCUUGCCCCAGUAGUCUUUAUUUAUAUUGCCACAGUAUAUAAAGAGUAUCUGGGAAAGCUUGUGGUGUGAAGUGUAGUGGGACCAGUGAGUUUGUUCAUGGCACUGAAAGGUGCAAACACUUUGGAUAGGGAUGCUUGGAAAUGUGGCCAGAUUAAGAGUUCCAAAAGAGAUCACAUUUUCAUUAUAACAUCAGUCCUACAGAGAAGAGUUUUCUUAAUGAUGGAUAGAAAAUCCAAAAGGCAAUCUGUGUAGAUUAUGAACUGAUUUCAGUCUCUUGUGAAUUGUCAUUAGACUUCCACAUAUCCUUCUUUGCUUUUACUUAGAGAAGCACAGUUGCUUGUGCACCCUCGGGAACAGUUUUCCACAGAAAAAUGUGAGGGAAAGGAUCCCAACAAUCACUAGUGGCUGUGGUAGAGUAGUAAUAUAGUGAUGGAUAAUUUUAGCAAAUGUAUGUUUUGUUUGUUUUCAC